AGCUCGGCUCUGGCCAAAUUCGGGCCUGCCUGGCUGUGACUGGGGGUGGCAGUGUCGUGCAGCGUGUCCCCGGGACUGUUGGUACCGGUGGCUGAUGUUGGGGGAGGACUUGGGGGUGAUGCCCAGACAAGGCUUCUUCCUGCUCUGAGCCUGGCGCUCUGGGCACGGCUGCUCUCAGGUUCGGGCAUGCGAAAUCCUCCUGGAGCUGUUGGGUGGUCCAGGCAGGGUGUCCCCCCAACCUGGGAGUGCCUGGAGAGGGCCACUGCAUUGCACCCCUGGCCCGCUCAACUUGUCAGAAGCUUGCGUGAUCACUGCAGGCUUGGCUGGAAGACCCAGAGGCCAUUUUUCAGAUGGGAAGGCUGAGGCCCCAGGCAGGGUCCGGGGUGGGGUCCUGGUGUGCUCAGGGCACCCUGCCAGACAGAAGCAGGGUUUGCUGUGGCCUGCAGCUCUGGCUCUAGCUGCCUUGUCGGGGCCUCUUUGAGUUCCCGUGGUCUGCUUAGGCCCUCGGGCGGCAGUUCCACCCCGGAGAGCCUCCCUCCUGUGGAAGCGUCUUGCUGAGCCCUCGGGGUGGGGAAGGGAGGCCCAAUUAGUGCUUGACGGGACUUGGAAAACCCUGGGAUGAAAGACUGGCGUGUGGGAGGUCCGGGCCUCUCACCGCAGCCUCUGUAGGCUGCCUGUCUCCAGACCUGGCACACACCCGGGCCCUUCCACCAUGCCCACUGGGAAGCUCCCCGCCCCCAGGCCACAGGCCACCAGGCCCAGGGCACACAAGAAGCCGUACCUCUCCAGGGCCCCAUGUGUUAGAGGGUCUGGGGGUGUGGUGUCUCGGCCACCACUGCUUGGGUCCCUGAGCAGGCCCGUGCGGUGUGCUGGGCCCACUGUGCUGUGGGUAGUUGGAAGGACGCAGGGCCUCAGUUUCCCAUCUGUAAAAUGGGGUAAGGGGACCUGCCGUUUACCUCCCAACUUCAUUCACUCAUCCACACUGAGGAAAUGGACUGUUUCUGCGGCACGGUGGGUGUGGUGGAAACAUCAGCCUUCAGGUUUUUUAUUAUCCCCAGACUUUCACCUUGACCCCCUGAGUAGAAGGGCGGAGAGGCUGGCAACUCUGGGCCACUGGCAUUCCAGGUGGAUGGGCCUGGUGUGCUGCGGGUUUGAGGGGCAGCCAUCUGGCCUCCGUUUGGGUAGGCUGUCAGCGUGCCCUUCCUACGUCUGCCUUGGGCCCAGCCUGAACCUCAGAGUUGGGCCAGGCAGUGCUGGUGCCCGGAGGGGAGCUCUGGGCGGGCCUGGCCGGGCCUCCCUGGCCGGUGGGCCCCUGCCCAGGGCAGUCCCUUGCCAUUCCAGGCCUGGCGUGGUCGCCGUGCCCGGGGGGUCGCGGGUCGCUGGUGCGGGCUCCUGA
rnacentral:lncRNA from 1 species